AAUACAGCAAACUUGUAACGAUAGAUAAUAUAAUUGAAUGGUAUAUCCUUUAAAUAUAUGGAUAUUCUUCAAUUAUGCGCUGAAACCCUUGUUAAGGGAGCUCCACGGACCAGAUGGAAAGCUCACACAAGCUUGUGCUGAUGCUUCGGCCAUCUGUUCCUCUCCAAUUCCAGCAUUGCAGAGGUUUGCAAUAGACCGCAUGUGCUUCAUUCCGUACUGGGACAGGGAUCCACAAUGUGUCUCAAAUGUCCUCA
rnacentral:misc_RNA from 1 species